GAUGAACGCUAGCGGCAGGCUUAAUACAUGCAAGUCGAGGGGCAGCACGGGUAGCAAUACCUGGUGGCGACCGGCAAACGGGUGCGGAACACGUACGCAACCUUCCCAUAACUGGUGAAUAGCCUUCCGAAAGGGAGAUUAAUACACCGUAACAUAACGAAGUGGCAUCACUUUGUUAUUAUAGGCUUCGGUCCGGUUUUGGAUGGGCGUGCGCCUGAUUAGGUAGUUGGCGGGGUAACGGCCCACCAAGCCUGCGAUCAGUAACUGGUGUGAGAGCACGACCAGUCACACGGGCACUGAGACACGGGCCCGACUCCUACGGGAGGCAGCAGUAAGGAAUAUUGGUCAAUGACGAAAGUCUGAACCAGCCAUGCCGCGUGAAGGAUUAAGGCCCUCUGGGUU
rnacentral:rRNA from 1 species